GGUAGCGUGGCCGAGCGGUCUAAGGCGCUGGUUUAAGGCACCAGUCUUCCGGAGGCGUGGGUUCGAAUCCCACCGCUGCCA
rnacentral:tRNA from 1 species